rnacentral:rRNA from 1 species
AUUUUAUCGCUGAAAGAUGAGCUCGCGUCUGAUUAGCUAGUUGGCGGGGUAACGGCCCACCAAGGCGACGAUCAGUAGCCGGACUGAGAGGUUGAACGGCCACAUUGGGACUGAGACACGGCCCAGACUCCUACGGGAGGCGGCAGUGGGGAAUAUUGCGCAAUGGGGGCAACCCUGACGCAGCAACGCCGCGUGAUUGAUGAAGGUCUUCGGAUUGUAAAAAUCUUUAAUCAGGGACGAAUAAAAUGACGGUACCUGACUAAGAAGCCCCGGCUAACUAC